rnacentral:lncRNA from 1 species
CCGCCAUUAUUGCUCUCCAACGGAACAACCGAGAACCUCUCCCUAUUGCUAGGCCUGCACUUAUUGCACGACACGCCGCUCGCCUCCUCCUUUUCCUGCCGCUUCUUCGCCGUCUUGCUGCUCCGCCGGCUCUUCUCGGAAUUCAGUGGCGUCGGAAAGUGCGUGUAAUCGCUGUCUCUCUUCUCCGUGUAGUCGCUCGCCGGAGUUGCUCUGAAACUCAUCCUCCCCUGAGAGAAUUCCUCCUCCUCGUUCCCCUCUUCUAUCUGCCAAAACAAAAUCAAAAAAUCGAUUCCCC